rnacentral:rRNA from 1 species
UACUCCUACGGGAGGCAGCAGUGGGGAAUUUUGGACAAUGGGCGCAAGCCUGAUCCAGCAAUGCCGCGUGCAGGAAGAAGGCCUUCGGGUUGUAAACUGCUUUUGUCAGGGAAGAAAUCCUCUAGGUUAAUACCCUUGGGGGGAUGACGGUACCUGAAGAAUAAGCACCGGCUAACUACGUGCCAGCAGCCGCGGUAAU